UAUAUGAAGUUGAUGUUGAUCCACAGAUUCACUGGUAUCCGCAUGAGUAUUCCGUUGAUUGUUUGCCUUAUUAAAUGGCUUUUCCUCAAGGUUGUGAGUCUCUAGUUUUUUAAGAAUGUUUCUCCUGGUAUUUGGAUGACAUGCAGCAUAAUGUAAAUGUUAAGGUUGAAGAGUGUUUGCAGCACGAGAGGCCUCCUGGUGUUGUGCGUGAGCUCUUGGUUGAUUCUCUUGUUGAGAGGUUGGUUCAAUUCUUCAAUCUGCCAAAGCCCGCUCCAAUCAAUCAGGAUAUUAGUAAUCCUUUUGAGAUUCAUGAGGAAAAUAGAAAGAAAAUAGAGGGUAAUCAUCUUGCUAGGGAUAAAAAUGUUGUGAUUGAUAACAAAUAUGAAGAUGAAUUGAAUUUUUCCCCCAUGAUAAGAAACCGCGUAGGUUUCGAUAUGAUGAUGAUGAGUGGAAAUUGUAUGCAUAUCAUCCGAAAUUUUGUCCUUUCCAAGUGCAUGAUGGUGUUGUUAUAGUUGCAGAUCGCUAUCUUGUUUCUGGUCCGAGUCGAAUUGGUUUCCAAUCUACUGUUCACCCUAUUGAUGCUCGAUUGAUGGUCCGUAAUUAGUUGCUCAACCUUGGCGCAGUUAUGAGCCUAUGCAGUUUCAUGUAGUUGAUGCUCCUUGCUCUGUAACAGGAUAGAUCGGAUGAAAGAUUUUUGCAAGUGUGCAAUCUCCACCUGCUGAACCAACUCAACCUGGUGUUGAUACUGAGGGAGUAGAUCCAACAACUGUCGGUCCAGAGUGCGUCUGAGGCGGAGCACCACCAUCCCAUGGAAGAGCAUCAGUCUCCAGAGCCAGUGCAACACAGGAGAGAGCUUUCGAUACGCAUGACUCGGAGUUGAACCCGAAGUGUUAUCCAGGGAACUCGAAGCCGAACUCGGCAGCUUCAGAACCGGAGAAUGAAAAUACGUCCGUGGCCAGCGGGUAGGUUAUAUGAUGGAGACCAAAGAGACUUGAAAAGAGGCGCACAGAGUGAUACAGGUACACAUUCAGUGACUCUUGUGCGUUACCAUAUUGAUAACUUCUCAUUCUAUUCUGUAGUAUGGUCGCUGCGGGAGGAGAGUGAAUGGAAAACUAACCCCGAGGUGGUAGAGGCUAAACAAAUCUCUGUAACACAGAAGGUCUUUUACGAUCCAUUUGGUCAGAACGCCUUGUACCUGGGCGAAUGGUGUCUCAAACAAGUUCUUGGAAUGACAGUAUUACCUUGCAAUCCUCUUGAUUCAACGGUAGACAUCAACACUGCCUAUUCGUACGCCAACAAUCAACUUAAUCCCUUGCAUUAUGCUGAAGUGCACGAUCAUGAAUAUAAGCCGUGGUGGAAGGAGAGGUCAGUUGGGAAGUACUCAGGUGUAACUUUACAUGAAGGAAACAGGGAUUUGUAUGGUACGCAAGAUAACGAUGCUUAUGUACGCCAACCAACACCACAACGAAAAAGCACAUACACAUAAGAGUUGGUGCCCAUCGAUCGUCAUCUCUUCCCAUAUCCACAAAAAAAUCUAACAUCUCGAAUAUGCGGCCCUGAAUUUAAUGCGAUUGAGAUGCCUAUUAGAAUGAAGUAUUUGGGACAGUAUCCUCAACCCAGUUAUAAUGUCAAUUAGGGUACAGCUGAGAUGUAGUGUCGGGCAUAUCAAGAUUCGCAACAACAACUCACGGCUCAACAACAAUUCUAUUUCGACCACAUAAAGGAGCUGCAAUACAAAAUCAAAUACGGUGCAGAAUCUCGUCGGAGAUUUGUGAGAGAGUAUCUACCACCACAUACAUGUGAGUCUUCUACACCGGGCCAGUCUCGUGAUUCGGGACCAUCGACGGGUUCUUUUGUUCCAAACAGUCAAGAAGAAUCUUACCAUCCUUAUAAUUCGUCUGAACAACUCAAUCAAAGUACAACCACGUACCAACAUCAGGGUAAUGAAAAUAAUCCAUGGUUUGAAAUGUAAAUGGCUAGUUUUUUUUAACUUUU